rnacentral:rRNA from 1 species
AUUGAACGCUAGCGGGAUGCCUUACACAUGCAAGUCGAACGGAGUGGCGAACGGGUGAGUAAUGUAUCGGAACGUGCCCAGUAGCGGGGGAUAACUACGCGAAAGCGUAGCUAAUACCGCAUACUAUUGGAGCGGCCGAAAUCGGAUUAGGUAGUGGGUGGGGUAACUGCUCACCAAGGCGACGAUCCGUAGCUGGUUUGAGAGGACGACCAGCCAGACGGGGACUGAGACACGGCCCAGACUCAUACGGGAGGCAGCAGUGGGGAAUUUUGGACAAUGGGGGAAACCCUGAUCCAGCCAUCCCGCGUGUGCGAUGAAGGCCUGAGGGUUGUAAAGCACUUUAAGCAGGAAAGCGGUACCUGCAGAAUAAGCACCGGCUAACUACGUGCCAGCAGCCGAGGUAAUUC